GAGCACACAAUGCCUCAGUGAAAUGUGACCGCAUGAGAUCUCAAAAGAUACGAAGAAGGCCUGAGUCUUGUCACGCUUACCACCCUCAAGAAAAUGCUAAGGAGUGCGGCAAUCAGCUUGUCCAUCAUGCUGUUCCUAUCCUGUUUAUCAGUCUCUGCACUCAUCCGUCGAUGACAGAGGGCCUGUUAAACUCCCAAGGGAGUCACCUAUAGUGCACAUGCUCAACUCGGCAUGUUUUUAUUAGCAAUAACUGCUGGGCUUUUAUGGCUUUGUCUUCACACUGUCUCUGAACCUCUGACCAAUCUGCAAAAACAUCUUUGAAAAAUCAGUGUCAUCAGUGGGGAUCGAUCGAAAUGAGACCCAGACAAGGAUGAAGAGAAGCUGAGCUUCUCUGAACUGUGACAUUACAGAGGAGAAUUUAUGGCCAGUAGCUGUAUGUGACUGUAUCUCUAUAUAAAGCA